rnacentral:rRNA from 1 species
GAUGAACGCUGGCGGCGUGCCUAAUACAUGCAAGUCGAGCGGACCAAAGAGAGCUUGCUCUCUGAGGUUAGCGGCGGACGGGUGAGUAACACGUGGGUAACCUGCCUGUAAGACGGGGAUAACUUCGGGAAACCGAAGCUAAUACCGGAUGAUAAAGAGAAACGCCUGGUUCUUUUUUGAAAGUCGGCCUUGUGCUGACGCUUACAGAUGGGCCCGCGGCGCAUUAGCUAGGUGGUGAGGUAACGGCUCACCAAGGCGACGAUGCGUAGCCGACAUGAGAGGGUGAUCGGCCACACUGGGACUGAGACACGGCCCAGACUCCUACGGGAGGCAGCAGUAGGGAAUCUUCGGCAAUGGACGAAAGUCUGACCGAGCAACGCCGCGUGAGCGAUGAAGGCCUUCGGGUCGUAAAGCUCUGUUGUCAGAGAAGAACAAGUACCGGAGUAACUGCCGGUACCUUGACGGUACCUGACCAGAAAGCCACGGCUAACUACGUGCCAGCCGCCGCAGUAAUAC